rnacentral:tRNA from 1 species
GGUUGUGGCUCAGUGGUAGAUUGCCCACCUCGCAAGUGGGAGGCCCUGGGUUCAAUCCUCAGCACCA